UACGUAGGAGGCAAGCGUUGUCCGGAAUUACUGGGCGUAAGGCGCGUGUAGGUGGUGGGACAAGUCUGCUGUGAAAGCGCCUGGCUUAACCGGGCGAGGUCGGCGGAAACUGUUCGACUCGAGGACGGUAGAGGGGGGUGGAAUUCCCGGUGUAGUGGUGAAAUGCGUAGAGAUCCGGAAGAACACCGGUGGCGAAGGCGGCCUGCUGGGCUAUGGCUGACACUGAGGCGCGACAGCGUGGGGAGCAAACAGG
rnacentral:rRNA from 1 species